GUCUGCGUGCAGAGCAAGAGCUGGAGGAGCUUAACCCCUUGCAAGCCCUCCGCAGUCAGCGCUGCCCAGGAAAGGACUCAGGGAACAAACUCCUGACGUCCUGGGCUUGGGAUCAUCUCAGCCCAGGCCCUGCAGCUCUGACUCUGCCAAUGUGCAACCUGAAUCUCAGGGAGACCGUGGUGAUUCCUGCCAUCUCAACCCACCGUCCUCACCCCGAGGUGGUCCUGCAGCCAGAGUGGGAUGUUCGGGGCAGCAUGGAGGUGUGAACCUGGCGGAUCAGGUGAGGACACUGAGGCCCAGAGAAGAGAAGAGAAGAGAUUCGUUCCUGGUCACCCAGAAAAGAAACAACAACAAAAACCUCUGACUCCUGGCCAGGUGCAGUGGCUCACGCCUGUAAUCCCAGCACUUUGGGAGGCUGAGGUGGGCGGAUCACCUGAGGUCAGGAGUUCGACACCAGCCUGGGCAACAUGAUGAAACCCCACCUCUACUAAAAAUACAAAAAUUAGCCAGGUGUGGUGGCAGGUGCCUGUAAUCCUCCCUGUAAUACUUGGGAGGCUGAGGCAGGACAAUCACUUGAACCUGGGAGGCGGAGGUUGCAGUGAGUCGAGAUUGCACCAUUGCACUCCAGCCUGGGCAACAGAGCAAGACUCUGUCUCAAAAAAAAAAAAAAAAAAAAACACCAAAAACAAAAACAACAAAAAAAACCUCUUACUCCUACUGCCAGGGCUUGAUGACUUUCACCCUUUUACCAGCAACAGUCAUGUGCAUGGCUGUGUCUGCAGAACCCUGCCAGCCCUUCCCACGAGCCUGAGGCACAAGAAUCACUUGAACCUGGGAGGCGGAGGUUGCAGUGAACCGAGAUCAUGUCACUGCGCUCCAGCCUGGGCAACAGAGUAAGACGCUUGUCAAAAAAAAAAAAAAAAAAAUCCACAGGGAGUCUGAGGGAAAGAGGAGGCAGGUGAGGAUUUCCAGAGUGAACCAAGAAGAAAUGAUGAAGCCUGGCUAGGGAAGUAGAGAACCAAGUUCCAGCCUGAGUGACCAGGAAUAAGCACCUUCCUUUCUCUGAGCUUUGGAACCUGCGGCUUAAUGAGAUUGUCUCUGAGGUUAUCAGAGAUUAUCUUCUAAUGCUAAACCUCCUGGAUUCUUUAUUCCAUUUGCCCACCCAGGCAGAAAUGCCAUGCAGACAGGAGGCUGCAGAGCACAGGUGUUAAGGCACAUGGGCUUUGUGGGCAAACAGAGAACUCCAUGUUCUCCCUUGGAAGCUGUGUGGCCUUGGGCAAGCUGCUUAACCUCUCUGAAUCCCAGAUUCCACAUCUGUAACAUGGACCAAUAAUUAUUUUACUGGGUUCUUGGGAUGACGGAUGAGACUAUGUGCCAAAAGUUCUUGGCCCCAGUGCCCAGCUGGCACAGAAUGACUGUUCACAAAUAAAUGGCCUUGCCUUUUCCGUGAAACGCCCUACAACCUGCUCCCUGCAGGACUGAGUUUAAUUUUCCUCAUCCACAGCUUCCACAAUAUCAACCCCAGGUCUAGCGAUGAGUCCUGGACACAAAAAGGGAGAAGCAGUUUUCCCAAGUGGAGGGAGGUGCUGACAUUUCCCUGUGACCCUCUUCCCUGCGACCCUUAAACCAGUUCCAGGGCUCACUGACCCAGCUAGAAACUCUGUCCUCACUCUGAGUAGUUAAGGAGCAGAACAAACAGCCCCUUCUCAGCCAACUGAGAUAAGGGUUAUGAGGAGGGUGUGGCCAUAUUGAGGAAAACACAUACAUAAAUUCAAAUUCAUGCUCUUUUCAAAGAGUCAAACAAACCGUGCACGUGCCAGGAAGGGACUGCUAACAGCAAAACUAUACUGAACACCUAUUAUGUGUCAAAUACCUUAUAAAAGCCUUUCCAUGGACUCAGAUCUCAUUAUUUAAUCCUCAUACUAAUCCAAGGAGGGAAAAAUUAUGAUGCCCAUUUUAUUUUAUAGGUGAGGAAGCUGGUUUGAACCAAGCUGUUUGAAUCUGGACAGUAUAAUCUU
rnacentral:lncRNA from 1 species